GCAUCUGUGUCAUAAAAGAUAUCCCCUUCUUUAAAAUAUGCUAGCCUAGCACUCCAUGAAAAUGGAGACUCACAAUGCUGCCUUGUCCUUCAAAGAUGUUUAUGCACAAAGGGAUAACUGCUCCCACCCCUAAAUGCUUUAGGCUUUACCUAUACUGCCUUUCAAAGCUUUCCCUAUUUUAAGAUUUUUUGAGGCCUCUUGGGUCUCUGGAAGGAGAAAGCUAUAAUAGCUUUUGGUUUCUGAUUGUCUUUAAGCAGAGAAAGCUCACAGUCUCAUUUAGGGGUGUGACAUAUUCCUAGUAGGGAUGGUCAGUCCCAGGCAGUACCUAUGGCUAUGGGCUGCUGAGGGCCAUGGUGAGGGCUCACAGGGUAACAGACAAUGGUACCCACGCUGGACUGGGGUGAGUAAAUAGCCAUUAUUCAGAACCAUGGAUUCUAUUUUCAAUCAAUCUGUCAACUAAUAUUUUUGAGAGUCCACCAGGUACCAAGCAGAGUGCUAAGUUCUGAAGAUACUAGGGUAGACAAGGUAAAAAUGGCCCCUACCCACAUAGCGCUACGUUAUAGUUAUUAUUGGAGAGUGGAUAGAACAUAUCUAGUCAAUUACCGUGCACCAAGAAAGGUGCUGUGAGACAGAAAUACAAAAUAUGGUGGAAGCAUCCUGGAGGGACACCUGACCCUCACUUGGAAGGCCAUGCAGGACUUCCAUGUGAAUUGAGAGUUUCCUGAACCCGGACAGGAGCAAGAUCUACUUUAGAGAGGUUUUGGGUAAAAUAAUGCCAUGAAAGGGAUAGUCUUUAAUCUAGAAGGGAAAAAUGGAGUAUUACACAUUUGUAAUAAACUUCAAGGUGAUACACCCCCGUAAGGCAACAUUCUGGCCAGCUCCACCAGUCAAGGCUGUACAGCGGAUAGUAAUUAUUUCUGUCACAGCGAAGAUAGAUGCUGGAUGUGGGCAGAUGGGGGUAGACUUGUGAAAAGUGUGAGUAUCUUUUAUAAAUUUAGUGAGUGGAGUGGCAACCCACCUACACUUCUAAUUUUUGCUGUUGGAAGCUAUGUCCAGAAAAGAGAAGAGAAAUUUCUCUACCUGAUAAAUUACACCUUAUUCAAAACACGCUGUGUGAGUGAAGGUGCUGCUUCCUCUCCUCUCUGCUAAUGUAACGAUGAGCACAAUAUUGUUUCUUUUGAAGCAGCAGAAGGAAAUUUUAAUAGAAAAAUACCUUUAUUCCUGUUAAAGGAGUAUCUUGGAGUUCUUCACCUGUCUUUAUGGGGGACACUCCCUACUACAUGGCCUCAUAAGGAUUUAGGGGUGACUUGCUCAUUAGACAUAGAGUGAGAUGGUUAGAAAAAUGAGUGUGAGUUGGGUACAGUGGCAUGGAAUGUUUAAAAUAUUGAGCAAUUUAGGAUCCUUAUUCUGGACUUUAAUUGUUUCUAGAGCCAGCCUCUCCACGUGUGAGUUGCAUCUUUGAGUGGCAAGAAAACCAUUCUGGGUUGUCAUUGAGAGCACGUGUCCUUGGAGAGUACCUUAGCAGUACCUCCUGUGUCCUCUCAUCACACAUAUCCACCUGUGCACACAUCCACCUUCCUGUACGCGCGCAGGUGCAUCAUGCAGUUUCACAGCCUGAGCACCACCAGAGAGAAAUGACUAACAUAGACUCGAUUUUUCGAUGUAAAGAUGCUCCUCUUUUUGCUCUUCCUCUCGAAUAUGACUUUUCUGUUCCUUGUUUAUUUUCAGUCUUUUCAAGGAAAAUGUCAAAUUUUCAGACUCGUAACUUCUGCUAGAAUCGCAGGCCAUUAGGGACUAUAGAGAUCUGACAUGCCUAACUGGAAGCGCCACAGCAGGGCAGCUGUGUAGAAACGCACAGCAGGCAUUUGGAAAAACAGAUCGGCAUCUUGGAAAGAGAGGUCAGGGCUCAACUUGUGGAUUUGAGAGUCACUCACUUAGAAACAGUAGACAUAGUACAUAUCUGAUGAAAGCAUUCCCCUGUUCAGAAAUCUUCAGAAGUCCCUCAGAUUUUGCAGAAUCAACUCAAAUUACUCAGCAAGACCUUUGACACCCUCUAUCAUGUAACCUCUGCUUUCCUUCUCUCCCACUUCUAUCUCCCCCCACACACACUUCCAACCACAGGGGUCUCUUGAACAUAUUAGCACACAUUUCUUCCCACUUUUUCUCAAGCUGUUUAUUCCUUUAGCAUUAACUCAGAUUCCACUUCCUUCUGGAAUCCUUCUUUCAUGAAUUCAGGUUGUGAAAGACCAAAGGGAACGUUGGGGCCUAUCAUGAAUUAGAAAAUAUAUUCUCUGUUUUCACCAAUCACGAGUCUUGUAUGACUUGCUUGGAAUAGCUUCCUUUAUGUGUUCUAAGGGAUAUGGGAGCCCGUCUAGACUGGCCUCCUUCACAGCGCUGGGAUCCAUUCUGCAAACCCAUCACAGAAAUAUAUGUGGCUUCUUCCUGCAGUAAAAUAUGUAGGAACUUAUCCAAGAUUCUUCUUUUUAUUCUUCAUUUAUGUUAUUUUAUCUCCAGUUUUAUGUCUCCAAGGAUGUUAGGUUGAAUUAUCCCCUCUGAAAAACCAUACUAGUUUUUGAAUUAGGAUACAGUGAUUCUAACUUCAGGGCCACUGUCAACUCAUUAGUUUAUUUAGGCAAGUUGCAGAACCUCGGCUUUAAUUUAUAAUCUGUAAAAUGGGGCUAGGAAUAACUCACUUGAGUUUUAUAAGGAAAAAUAAGACCUAAAGUUAAAACAUUUUGGAAAAUGUUUUCAAAGAUGGAAUACAAACAUGAGGUGAUAUUACUGCUGCCAUAUUGCUCAUAUUGCUUGUAGUCAAGAAAAAACUUAAUCCUUUUUGAUAAUCUGAUAUAGACUGUGUCAUAUUAUGUGUUGCAAAAAAAAAAAAAAAAAA
rnacentral:lncRNA from 1 species